rnacentral:rRNA from 1 species
UACGUAGGGGGCAAGCGUUGUCCGGAAUCAUUGGGCGUAAAGCGCGCGUAGGCGGCCAGAUUAGUCCGGUGUGAAAGUCAGAGGCUCAACCUUUGAAUGCCGCUGGAAACUGUCUGGCUUGAGUCCGGAAGGGGGCGAGUGGAAUUCCUGGUGUAGCGGUGAAAUGCGCAGAUAUCAGGAGGAACACCAAUGGCGAAGGCAGCUCGCUGGAACGGUACUGACGCUGAGGCGCGAAAGCGUGGGGAGCAAACAGG